UUCAUCCCCACCAACCUGAGGAAGAAGAAGAAAAAUUAGCCAGACAGGGCUGUUUCUGUUACUUUGCUUAGGUGCAGCGCUCCAUGCUGUCUCCAUGGUAGGUGCUCACUCUCACACAGACUCAGGUUUUCUUGAUAAGUUUUACUCCUCCUUCAUCACAUAGUGCUCAGAAAUAACACCACUGGCUAAAUGAACUACACUGCACUAAUAACUAAUUUGUCUUGCAAAGGCAACAUGUCCUUCUGAAUCAUGGUGAAACUCCCUGCACAGCCAUGCACACCGUUUAAGGCAAACAUCACCUGCACUAAAGUGGAAAAAACGGCAAAGCUUCCAUUAAUCAGGAAAUCUCAGAAGCGAAACUGAUGGAAAAUUCAUGGGGCAAAGCAAGAGUUCAACACCUGACUUGUGCUCAUCAGUUUCUGGACAUGAUCCAUGCUACACAGGCAACAUUGUCUGGGAAUGCAGCUUCCCCCAGGAUGAAAGGAGGCUGCUGUGGUGUUAGGAAGCCUGGAGAGAUCACUGGAAGUUCCUCCUUUAUAGAGGAGGUGGCUGAAGCAGUCAUGAGAGGGGACACCAAUCAAGGAGAGAGGGAAUACCAUUAAAAAUCUGUGUCACACAAAAUUACUAGCAGAGGCUUUUUGCCAGGGCAGAAUGUCACAUAUCGUGUAUGUUCUCAGGGUGCCAUUACCACUUACAGACACUCUCUUUUUGCAUUGGUCACACAGCUGCAAAGGUGCUCCACUACCAACCCACAGAGAUCCAGCCUGCUCCCUACGCCACUGACAUUCCCAAAUGCAGCAUACUGCAGCCAUCUCACUCAUAACUGCAUCUCUGCCUAGUCAGGCUUGCUGUAAGAUCUUACCACAUUUAAGAAAAAAACCUUCCCCUCCCCGCAAUGAUGAAGAAAAGCUAUUUAAAUAUUAACCAUGUAGAGAAACCUAUAGAAAAAUAAUAUGGGAGAGGUUUCUGUUCUUACAGCUAAGCAGUGACAUGUGGACAGUGUGCAGCAAAACUGCUGUCUGCUUCCCUCCAACAGUAUCAUUUCAGGGAAGCAGUAAUUGGGGUCAGCCAAGAUGCUCCGUGCCACUGGAGCGCUUUGCUGUAUUACUUGGUUUAUUAUGUUCUUUCCCAAAUGAGGAUCUGAUCCUGAUUUUUAUGUGCUAAAGGGAAGAAGGGUGCUUUGUUGACUCAGAGGAGCUGUGACAAAAAUUGCAGGACUGGGACUCAAACUGAGAUUCUGACUCUCAAAACGCAUUUCUCCCUGACACCACUGAAAGGCUACAACAGUGAGCCCCAGGAACAUCCCUCAUUCCCAGGGAGGCUCUCUGCCCUGAAUUUCUGCAGAGGAGUUGCCACAAGAGUUCCUCCAGCCAAAAACAGGCUGCUGAAGUACAUAACUUACAGCAUUAACACUCGAACCCCUCUCUCACAUCUCAGUGUCAUUACAUCUUGUGAAGUCCUCACUGUGGGGCAUCACACUGAAGAGCCAUAAAACACAAGAUGUGUCAAAUAUGAAUGAUCAGAUCAAACCUGCUACACAGACAACACACAUAAAAAAUAUGAUGGGAAAAGCAGCAGGCACUGCUCCUUCUAGCUGCCUUUUUUAAAGCAAUCUUAGGAGAUCACCAAUUCUGCACACCCUGCCCGCCUACAUGCAGCGGUAAAUUACUAAUUUUAAAUGGAAAUGCAACAUUCUGUAACAAAAGACUGCUUGUACAAAACCUUGCUGUAACAGUCUGGAAAACCUCAACUGCAGAACCAAUCACCCCUGUCAGAGCCAGAGACAGUUGCCUCUGCUUUUUAGCAGAGGAAAUUGCCUACAAGACAUAGUACUUGCAGCCAACAGCCAGCCAAGAGCAAUGCUAGAGGCUGAGCUCAACAAGACUCCUGUGUCCUGGCUCAGCAUCUGCUAGGAAGAAGUCAGUCCCAGUGGUCUCUGCUUGGCUCCUGCAAACCACUGAUGCCAUGGUAGCUGUUUCUGCUGUUUUCCUGGAGGGCUGCAGGCUCUGGUCUGGGACCUGCUGCCAACCAUAAUGAUGUCAAACAAUCCCUAGGAAGCUGCUCCCCACCACCCUGUGCCACCCAGGCAGAGGCGUGAGACACAGGGCACCCUCUGCAAUGCACAAGGGGACAGGACAGUGGCCUGGCCACAGCCAAAUGGGUCACAAAUGUGCUUUGGUGGCCAGCUCAGGACUGCCUCUCUCCUUGCUGCAGUCCCUAAUUGCCUGAGCAGUGCUUGGAGAUACCUGCAGAAUGAAAGGCACACGAGAGCACAAGAUGGUUUAUUAAGAGGCCUGUGAGAAUGAGACACUGGAACUGCAGACGUGCUGUACAAGCUGCAAACUCCCAGAAUGAGCUUUCCACAAAUGAAUCCUCUUGUCAAGAGCUGUACGAUUCUGUAUUCAUGUACCCUGCACCAGAGGAGUACUUGGCAACCCCUUUGAUAUUGCUCUCUAAAUUAAUAGACAAAGGGAGUUUUAUCAGAAGCAGGAACUGAAGUCAGAUGUUGGUACAGUGACAGCUGCAAAGCAAUUGCUGUGCAGGUGUGACAACAUGGGGAAAGGGGCUGCACACAGCACACAUCUGCAGCAAGAGGUAAGAGGAUGGCCCUGCCACUGACUUCGUAUUAACUAUUACUGCACAAAACUCAAGAUUCCCAUAUUCAGGACACUGCUUGGCCUGAAAACCACCACCAGCCCUCAACACUUGAAGCACAUCUUUGUACCAGUCUGAUCGCUGGGUGAAGCUCUCCUCUUAGCCUCUUGGAUAUGGUCUGUGGAGAGCAAACUGAGCUCAGAGCACUGUAACAGGCAAAAGGAGGUGACAGCACAAGUGACUGAGGUUUACUUAGACUCCCCCCAGAGCUCCUGGGGUCCCUCUGCAUUGCUGAGCAUCACAGCUUGUACCCCUGAGCAUGGGCAAGCAACAGCACUGCCACCCACGCUGAUGGCAUCCUCCAGCUCAGCAGCACUGGGAUAUAAAAGAAAGGGCUGGAAUUGAUAACAGCUCUCCAGCUAUAGGACUGAAAGGCUUCAGAAGCAGCUGCAUGCAGUCCCCAGCCAAAAGGGACUGGAGAUAUGAAGCAGCAGAGAAAAGCAAAGGGGGAACUGUUUGUGAGGCUCCAAACAGCAGAAGUCCAAGCUUCCAGCUACCCAAAGGGAAAUGCCAGCACAGCUCAGCUGAACCAAGGUCUAAAAGCCUUUGAUGCGGAAUUGCAUCCCACAGGAAGGAGAGGAAAAAAAAAAAAGGAAAA